GACGAACGCUGGCGGCGUGCUUAACACAUGCAAGUCGAACGAAGAGUGAUGGAAGCUUGCUUCUAUCAAUUUUAGUGGCGAACGGGUGAGUAACGCGUAAUCAACCUGCCCUUCAGAGGGGGACCACAGUUGGAAACGACUGCUAAUACCGCAUAUGUUUUAUUCUCGGCAUCGAGGAUAGAUGAAAGGCGGCCUCUACAUGUAAGCUAUCACUGCAGGAGGGGAUUGCGUCUGAUUAGCUUGUUGGAGGGGUAACGGCCCACCAAGGCGAGGAUCAGUAGCCGGUCUGGGAGGAUGAACGGCCACAUUGGGACGGAGACACGGCCCAGACUCCUACGGGAGGCUGCAGAGGGGAAUCUUCCGAAAUGGACGAAAGUCUGACGGGGCAACGCCGCGUGAGUGAUGACGGCCUUCGGGUUGAAAAGCUCUGUUAAGCGGGACGAAAGGCCUUCUUGCGAAUAGUGAGAAGGAUUGACGGUACCGGAAUAGAAAGCCACGGCUAACUACGU
rnacentral:rRNA from 1 species